ACAAAAAUAAACAUGAACUGAGUAAUACAGUAAGAGAUGUUAUAAUUU
rnacentral:guide_RNA from 1 species